ensembl:lncRNA novel transcript
GAGUAGCUGGGACUGCAGGCGCCCGCCACCAUGCCUGGCUAAUUUUUUGUAUGUUUAGUAGAGACGGGGUUUCACCGUGUUAGCCAGGAUGGUCUCUAUCUCCUGACCUUGUGAUCUGCCUGCCUCGGCCUCCCGAAGUGCCGGGAUUACAAGCGUGAGCCACCAUUCCCGGCCCAAAGAGGAGAAGAAGUAUGAAGUGCUUGCUUGGACCUUUCUACUGUGCUUAUUAUUCUGUCUUCUCCUCAUGGCAAAUGCUUCCUGUCCUUGAACAUCAGACUUCAAGUUCUUCAGUUUUGGGACUUGGACUGGCCCCUUGCUCCUCAGCUUCCCAAUGGCCUACUGUGGGACCUUGUGAUCAUUUUGGGGACUCAGAUUGACUUCCUUGCUUCUCAGCUUGAAGAUGGACUAUUGUGGGACUUCACCUUGUGAUCAUGCUGGAGUGCAAUCUCGGCUCACUGCAGCCUUGACCUCCCGGGCUCGAGCAGUCCUCCCACCUCAGCCUCGCAAAUAGUUGGGACCACAGAUAUGCACCACCACGUCAGCCUAAUUUUUGUAUUUUUAGUAGAGACAGAGUGUCACCAUGUUGCUCAGGCUGGUCUGCUGGGCUCAAGCAAUCCGCACAACUCCACCUCCCAAAGUGCUAGGAUUACAGGCUAAGCCACCGAGCCAUUUUAUACAAUAUUUUAUGCAUCUUUAGUUAAAGAGUUAAAAGUUUCUUUAAGAUCUUUGAAAUUAUUUUAAAAUACUGAUCACUGUUGUUUUUUUCCACCAGUUUCUCAAUUCUUAAAUUCUAUGUUCUUUUAAAUAAAAUUUUGACACGCUGAAAUUUAAUCAUGUUCAUAUUUAUAUUGAAUAUAUUUAUUGUCAAUUUCUUAGUUUUAUAGACAAAUAGAUUUUAUUAUGGUAAA